UACGUAGGUGGCAAGCGUUGUCCGGAUUUACUGGGCGUAAAGGAUGCGUAGUCGGACAUUUAAGUCAGAUGUGAAAUACCCGAGCUUAACUUGGGUGCUGCAUUUGAAACUGGGUGUCUAGAGUGCAGGAGAGGUAAGUGGAAUUCCUAGUGUAGCGGUGAAAUGCGUAGAGAUUAGGAAGAACACCAGUGGCGAAGGCGACUUACUGGACUGUAACUGACGCUGAGGCAUGAAAGCGUGGGGAGCAAACAGG
rnacentral:rRNA from 1 species